rnacentral:rRNA from 1 species
AGAAUCAACGCUGGCGGCGUGCCUAACACAUGCAAGUCGCACGAGAAAGGGACUUCGGUCCUGAGUACAGUGGCGCACGGGUGAGUAACACGUGAAUAAUCUACCUCCGAGUGGGGAAUAACUGAGAGAAAUCUUAGCUAAUACCGCAUAACACUUACGAGUCAAAGCAGCAAUGCGCUUGGAGAGGAGUUCGCGGCAGAUUAGUUAGUUGGCGGGGUAAUGGCCCACCAAGACGAUGAUCUGUAUCCGGCCUGAGAGGGCGCACGGACACACUGGAACUGAAACACGGUCCAGACUCCUACGGGAGGCAGCAGUGGGGAAUUUUGCGCAAUGGGGGAAACCCUGACGCAGCAACGCCGCGUGGAGGAUGAAAUCCCUUGGGAUGUAAACUCCUUUCGAUCAGGAAGAUAAUGACGGUACCGAGAGAAGAAGCCCCGGCUAACUCGCGCCAGCAGCCGC